rnacentral:rRNA from 1 species
AACGAACGCUGGCGGCAUGCUUAACACAUGCAAGUCGAACGAGACCUCCGGGUCUAUUGGCGCAUGGGUGCGUAAUGCCUGGCAAGCUGCUCUUAUGUUCGGAAGAACUCCCUGAUAGGGGUUAUAUUACCGGAUGAUGUCCUCAGACCAAAGAUUUAUUGCGUUUGGAUGGGGCCGCGUUGCGUUAGCUAGUUGGUAGGGUAAACGCCUAUCAAGGUGACGAUCCAUAGAUGGUCUGAGAGAAUGAUCAGCCACACUGGGACUGAGCCGCGGCCCAGAAUCCUACGGGAGGGAGCAGUGGGUGAUAUUGGACAGUGGGCUAAAGCCUGAUCCCGCAAUGCCGGGUGAGGGAUGAUGGCAUUAGGGUUGUAACGCUCUCUUACCCGGAAAGAUAAUGACAGUACCGGAAGAAUAAGCUCCGGCUAACUACGUG